rnacentral:misc_RNA from 1 species
AACGCACCUUGCGCCCUUUGGCCAUUCCGAAGGGCAUGCCUGUUUGAGUAUCAUGAACACCUCAACCCUCAUGGCUUGCCAUGGUGGGCUUGGACUUUGGGGGUCUUGCUGGAUUGUGGUCAGCUCCCCUUAAAUGAAUCAGCUCGCCAGUGUUUGGUGGCAUCACAGGUGUGAUAAUUAUCUACGCUUGUGGUUUUACAUCAGGUAACCUCCAGAGAUGGGGGUUCACUGGAGCUCAUAAAGGUCUCUCCUCUGUGGGGACAACUCUUUGAAUGUUUGAUCUCAAAUCAGGUAGGACUACCCGCUGAACUUAA